rfam:Ciona savignyi cont_51207, whole genome shotgun sequence.
UGAGGGAUUAUGACUGAACGCCUCUAAGUCAGAAUCCCGCCUGGAAAGCGACGAUGCAUUCGUGCCUCGGCCUCGAGAGGCGUAGCUAGACGGCCGUGUGGCCGUGGAAAGAGCCCGAUUCCGACCCGAGAGGCCGCGGCAAGAGGCGGCCUCGAAGUCGGUGGAUCCUCCUGCUCGAAAGGCGGGGUGCUAAACCAUUCGCAGACGACCUAGUUGAAGAUCGGGGUGUCGUGAUCACUAGAGCAGUACAUCUCACUGCGAUUUGUUGAGAGUAAGCCUCAAGAUCUGUCGGUUUGU